rnacentral:rRNA from 1 species
GACGAACGCUGGCGGCGGGCUUAACACAUGCAAGUCGAGCGGAAAGGCGCUGGGAGGUACUCGAGCGGCGAACGGGCGAGUAACAGGGGGGGAAACGGCCCCAGACCUUGGGAUAAACCGGGGAAACGGGGGCUAAAACCGGAAACGACACAGCUUAGCAUGGGGAGUGUGUGGAAAGUUGUGCGGAUUGGGAUAGGGCCGCGGGCUAUCAGCUUGUUGGAGGGGGGAGGGGGUGAGAAGGCGACGAACGGUAGCCGGCCUGCGAGGGGGACCGGACACGGUGGGACUGCGUCCCGGCCGCGACUGCUACGGGUGGCAGCAGUGGGGAAUAUUGCACAAUGGGCGGAAGCCUGUUGCAGCGACGCCGCGUGAGGGAUGACGGCCUUCGGGUUGUACGCCUCUUUCCGCCGGGACGAAGCGUAAGUGACGGUACCUGCAGAAGAAGCGCCGGCCAACUCCGUG